GGAUUGUGGCUAAAUGGUAGAGUGCUCACCUAGCAUGGGUGAGGCACUGGGUUCAAUCCUCAGCACCA
rnacentral:tRNA from 1 species